rnacentral:rRNA from 1 species
UGAGGAACCCGAAAGAUCGAAUGGGAAGAUUCAGCGUCAGCGGCGUUAACUCGGCGGAUCGUGCGUCGUCUCGGACUUCGGUCUUGGGACGCGUAAUCUUUCCAUGCCUUGUUUAGCGUCGUCGUCGUGCACUUCUCCCCUAGUAGAACGUCGCGACCCGUUGGGUGCCGGUCUACGGUCCGAGCGGUAGACUGUCGCGUCGCUUCGGCGCACGCGGCAGACCCUCGGUCACCCGGCCGGCUGCCCGGCGGUCGAACUUAUAAGGUAUCUUGCCGCAAUUAUCGAACUGCGUCGGGCCCGUCGCAAGCGAGGCCAGUGUCUUACGGAGUUACGGACCUGGUGCCGUACCCGUGGCUGGCCAGCUGUUGGCAGGCGGAGUCCUUUGACGGGCAAUACACAAUGAUACCGGUCUGCGACGCUACUGCUUUGGGUACUCUCAGGACCCGUCUUGAAACACGGACCAAGGAGUCUAACAUGUGCGCGAGUCAUUGGGACUCUAAAACCUAAAGGCGCAAUGAAAGUGAAGGUCGUACUAAGGUCGACCGAGGGAGGAUGGGCCGCGUUUACGCGCGGCUCCGCACUCCCGGGGCGUCUCGUUCUCAUUGCGAGAAGAGGCGCACCCAGAGCGUACACGUUGGGACCCGAAAGAUGGUGAACUAUGCCUGGUCAGGACGAAGUCAGGGGAAACCCUGAUGGAGGUCCGUAGCGAUUCUGACGUGCAAAUCGAUCGUCGGAACUGGGUAUAGG